CGGAAGCCUGAACCAGCCAUGCCGCGUGCAGGAUGACUGCCCUAUGGGUUGUAAACUGCUUUUGUACGGGAAUAAACCUCUCUACGAGUAGAGAGCUGAACGUACCGUAAGAAUAAGGAUCGGCUAACUCCGUGCCAGCAGCCGCGGUAAUACGGAGGAUCCGAGCGUUAUCCGGAUUUAUUGGGUUUAAAGGGUGCGUAGGCGGGACUUUAAGUCAGGAGUGAAAGACGGCAGCUUAACUGUCGCAGUGCUCUUGAUACUGAAGUUCUUGAAUGCCGUUGAAGAUGGCGGAAUGAGACAAGUAGCGGUGAAAUGCAUAGAUAUGUCUCAGAACUCCGAUUGCGAAGGCAGCUAUCUAAGCGGUGAUUGACGCUGAUGCACGAAAGCGUGGGGAUCAAACAGGAUUAGAUACCCUGGUAGUCCACGCCCUAAACGAUGAUGACUCGAUGUUAGCGAUAUACCGUUAGCGUCCAAGCGAAAGCGUUAAGUCAUCCACCUGGGGAGUACGCCCGCAAGGGUGAAACUCAAAGGAAUUGACGGGGGCCCGCACAAGCGGAGGAGCAUGUGGUUUAAUUCGAUGAUACGCGAGGAACCUUACCCGGGCUUGAAAGUUAGUGAAUGGAGCAGAGACGCUCCAGUCCUUCGGGACACGAAACUAGGUGCUGCAUGGCUGUCGUCAGCUCGUGCCGUGAGGUGUUGGGUUAAGUCCCGCAACGAGCGCAACCCCUAUGUUUAGUUGCCAGCACAUAAUGGUGGGGACUCUAAACAGACUGCCUGUGCAAACAGUGAGGAAGGCGGGGACGACGUCAAGUCAUCAUGGCCCUUACGUCCGGGGCUACACACGUGCUACAAUGGAUGGUACAACGGGCAGCUACACAGCAAUGUGAUGCCAAUCUC
rnacentral:rRNA from 1 species